UCCGUGCUGCGGGGACGGCGGCGGGAGCACAGGCAGCAACGGCCGCGCCGCACCGCACCGCGCGGGGGCCCGGCGCCGCUUCCGGGCGAUGGCGGAGCAGCCUCCUCUGAACAUCCUCAUCUUACCAGCUGGGCAAGUGAGUUCAGAGGCAUAAACUUCAAGAACUUAACAGGAAACGAUGAGUAAGUGUGAUGGAUUGGAAGAUGGGGUUUUCUGGCAAAGAAAAAGCUGCUCUGGGCCAUGAGAAGGAUGAUAAAAAGAUGGAAAAAAACCCCCUAAAAAUACCUCUGGUGGCCCUGUGAGCACAAGGCCACUGAUCUCCUGUGCCAGGCAACCAAAAAGCAGAUGCUGUGGGUGCUGCUCUGGUGUUUCACACAUGUUCCUGAGGAGGUUGUUUUUUCUAAGCAGUGGCCCAUGGAUACAGCUCCAUUCCCCAGCUGCAAACGUGGAUGUUGAGGCAUGCAAGUGGCCCCAAAGUUUGGAAAACUGGGAUGUGUAACUCACUGGUCCAGUGCAUUCUGGCCUCAGCAGGCAAAAAGCUCCAAGUCCUCGUUCCACAGCAUCACAGUCCUACCAGGAGAGAUUUGAAGGUCAUGACUGCUGCUCCUUCAGGGGUGCUGCUAAAAUCGUGGCUGUCACCCACUGAAUCAGUUGCCACUAUGACAUUCCCUCCUCACCUUUGGGAAACUGUGACAGCACACAAGCCAACUUGUCUAGAGACUCUGGGGACUCCCUACAUUCAGGCUGAAGAUACUGAGGUGGAAAGCAGUUCACCUUGCUUUGGCCUAAAGAGCUCUUAACUGAGACAAGAGACAUUCAAUUCUACCUACAUCUAGCAACAGCAUUUAUUCUUUGCUGCAGGAAGGUUAACCUGCAGUGGUUCUGCCUCUUCUGCACAACCCUCGAAGCACUCAACUCUGUCCUGAUGGAAACUGGCUAAUUAACUUGGGAUGAAGGCUAAUUCACAUCCUUGGGAGUAGCUUUCAAAAGCAAAGCUGGGUGUGUUUGUAUGCUUUUUUGUUUGUUUUUAAACAAAAUGUUAUUUGUAGUCCCCAACUUGUUGCUUCCAGAUGAGUUUCUUCUUGCAAGACCCCUCUGACAUCCCCCAAGGCAAUGGGAAAUGAAGAUGUUUGAAGAUGUGAAAUAGCCUGCAGCAUUGCAGCCCACUGGACAGCAGGCUUUAGGGACCACUGGUACAGAGAUGUGAUUUCAGCUAAACUGGUGCCAACAGCAUCAUGUGUUUUACUCUCUGGAAGAUUUAGGCACUGUUUGAAGAGAAUACACAGGUUCAUGUAAGACAUUGCAUUCAACUCUGGAGAAAGGCUGAUAAAAAGAAGUCAUCUAUAGCAUUGAGACCAGAAGAAAAGCUCCAUUGGCAGCUUAGGGGAAGACUGCUCACUAAAAAGACAUGUUUUUCUCUCUUAAAACUUUCUGCUUGGUAUGGUCAGAACUACUGAAGUACUUCAGCCCGUUCUCUGUGCACUCAGCAGCGCUUUGGGUUCAGCAAGUUCUAAUAAACCUGGGCACCACUGAUUUCUGA